rnacentral:lncRNA from 1 species
AAGAGUAAAGUACUUCCGCUUCCUUAGGUGGAGCUGGAAAGGUGGAGGCGGAAGUGACUGAUCAAUUCAGGGGCGUGGGGUUCGUUUAGGUUUUGCCCUGUGUAUGACCUCGUUUGGAGCCAUGAAACCAGCCUCAAGCUUUAUUCUAGGAAGGUGGCUUUUCUACAAUAUAAAGAUGGAAAUGGGAAGAAGAUGUUCAUUGCAAAUUAAGGAAGCUCUUCCACGAGUUCACGAAUGGAAAUAACAUCAAGAGUUUUUCAUCUUCUUAGUGUGCAAGAUAAAUAUCAAGGAGUGCAAUUCCUGGAUUUAUGAUGUCUGAGGAAUAGUCUUAGUGGAUUAUCCCAAACUUGACACAUUUUUUGCAAAAUGCUAUACAAAAAGAAGAUACAUGCGAUUAUGACAAGAUUCUCCACUUGGUGUGACCAGUCUCAUACAACCCAAGGCUGUGUGUCCAAAGGCAACUGUACUGAUCUUGACAAUAAUCAAAAGGUAGCCAGGUGCAUCGGGGAAAGCACUGACAUUGGAGUCAGACAGACUGAAGUUCAUAUCUGAUUCUGCUAUAUGACAACGUGUGGGCUAUGUGGCUAACUUCUCAGAGCUUCAGUUUUCUCAAGGGCAAAAUGAAAAUAAUAGAAAUAAUAGAAUCCACCUCACAGGGCUGUGGUGAGAAUUGGAGAUGAAGCACAUACAGCAUAUUACAUCAACUAAACACAUGCUAAGCACAUGACAGAAUUGCUCUGUUGAAGUUUUGCAAGGUCAAAUGACUCACUUUGUCUAAUGGAACGGGAACGAACAAUUUUUUUGUGUCACGUUUGAACAGAUACCUUUGAGAAGUUUAUGAUUCUCCAAGUUCUCUUUCUCCUACUGUGGCACCUACUGACAAGAUAAAUGUGUAGAGGUUCCUGAGUCUAGGGGUGAGUCUUGCAUAUCUGAUGAAUCCACCAGUAAAAGUACCACUGCUGAAAUCACGCAAAUAUAUUUUUUUAGACCUUAUCAACCUUGGCAUGGAAUUAGAUGAGCAAAAAGCUGAGUUGAAUUGAUGAAAAGAAUCCCAAGUCAUUAAUUACUAAUGAUGGAGCUUGUAAAGUACAGCAUCACUGGGGAAAGCAACUGACUUUCCUCAUACACAUUAUAUUUUUAUCUGAAUUUCAAUACUGCUUAAAUAUGUACUUCAUUACAGGGCACAACUAAAAUAGAAGGGCACCUGCUAAGUCAGAGCCAUAAAACAGAUCUACAGCCUGCUGGCAUGUGAAAUUUCUCUAAUUUAUAUUUUUUAUGAAACUACCCUCACAUUAUGUGGUUGGCAGCAUAAAUAAUAAAGCAUGUUACUGAAGCAAUUUUACAUUUACUGUAUUAGUAAGUAAAUGCAAUGGCCACUCUUAUUCUCAAAUAAAAACUACCCAGCCUUUUCAUGAAAGAUGUUUGCAAUUUCCAUUGGCCUGUAUAUGCAAUAAAAAGCCAUAACUCAUCAAAA